CAAAGAGAAUUAAAAACAACUUUGUUCUUCUCUUAUUUUAUUAGAUAAAUAGAUAUAUAAAUAAAUAUAUUAAUAUAAAAAUUAUCUUUAUGAUAAUAUAUUUAUAAUAAAUUUUAUUAUAUAAUAUAAAUUCAUUAAAUUUUAUAUAAUAUUUAUUUUAUUAUUUUAUUAUUUAUGUAUUAAUAUUUAAUUAUUUUAUUUUUUUAUUAAGCAUUAUAUGUAUAAUUAUUUUUUUCAUAUAUUAUAUGUUUAUUUUAAAUUUGUACUAAAAUUAUUUUAUUCAAUACAUAUGUUGUGGAUAAAUUAUAUAAAAUGGAUAAAUUAUAUAUAUAUAAUAGGUUGUUACAUAAAAUAAAUCAUUAUACAAAAUAAAAUAAAUAUACUAAUAUAAAUUAAAUGUUAUAUAAAAUAUUAUAUUAUAAAUUGUUAUAUAAAAUUAAUUUAUAAAUAAUUUUAUAUAAAAUAUACUGAUAUAAAUGAAUUAUGUUAUUUUUCAAACAUAUUUAGACAUCAUUCUAAAACUUUUAUCCAAAACGCUACUAAGAAUAUCACCUAGAAUAUCUCUGAAUGCAUCCAAAUGCAAAUUUACUGUUGUUCUAAAUUAUGUUGGGAUAUCUUUUGUUCUCGAGAAUAACAAAAGUUAUACCCCAAAAUUUAGUUCACGAGCCAAAUGCAUCCUUAAUUAAUUGCUAAGAAUGGAAAAAUUACAGACUAUUCUACUCCUAGAAUUUUUUUUUUUAAGAUAUAGAUAGCACGUUACCCGUUUCGUUUAUUUCAUUUAGAAAUAAACUUAGCUGGAAAUAUGAAUCAACUAGGAUUCGAACUUGGGAUCUCGGGUACCAACCAUCAAACCCUUUGCCACUUGCUCUAGGGACAGUCGGUGUGGAAAGA
rnacentral:lncRNA from 1 species